rnacentral:lncRNA from 12 species
CAGAAACACACCUACGUGGACUGUGCAGUCUAACAGGAAUGCAGAAUCUUGCUGGAACUGAGUCUGGUGCUGUAUAUUUGCUUGAAUAAGGUCCAGCCCAGAAAAGUGGGAAAGCUGUCCCUGGAUGAAACAGUGACACAGUGCAGUGACC